rnacentral:tRNA from 1 species
ACAUUGGUGGUUCAGUAGUAGAAUCCUCUCCUUCCGUUCAGGAGACCCAGGUUCGAUUCUGGCCAGUGUA